rnacentral:rRNA from 1 species
AUGAAGUGGCAAUUCUGGAAGAAGCUGGGGAGGGGGUCAAUUCUUGGAGAAUUGCCCAAAAGAACUGGCCCUAAGUCUGUCGAAGAGAUACCGAAGGAGUUUUGGGAUGACAUUGGAUUUUCUACGUAUGCUUCUCAGGUUUGGAAGAGAUCAUCGGCUGGAUCUUCGUCUCAAGGCGAAUCUGAGGCGUGUGCCCUUGUGUGCCGUUUGGACUCCGGAAGGACCCUCUUGACGCCGUGGCCGCCCAUCCUGUCGGCCGAGGGCGUGCAAGCACCGCCAGCGCCGCAGCCAUCUCGUGUCGUCAGUGGACGUAACCGGCCGUUGGUCAAGCCAUAG